rnacentral:tRNA from 1 species
UCUAAGGAUGAAUGAAAGUAAAAUUUCAUUCUAAAUAAUAUACAUCGGUAAUGUUGACCGUCCUCAUUUCUCUUCUUAAAGUAGUGUUUCUCUUGCAUGGGGGCCGGUAGCUCAGUUGGUUAGAGCACACCCUUGAUAAGGGUGGGGUCGAAAGUUCGAGUCUUUCUCGGCCCACCAAUAUAAGAUCAUGGGGGAUUAGCUCAGCUGGGAGAGCGCCUGAUUUGCAUUCAGGAGGUCAGCGGUUCGAUCCCGCUAUCCUCCACCAAAAACACUUAGUUAUAAAAACUGUAAAUUAAAAUAAUAAUUAAUAUCAAUAUCUAUAUCCGAACAUUAGUAAUGUUAUUAGCUAAUGUUCAAAAUAAAAAUUUGAUUCAACACAGAAUUUUUUUCUG